AGAGCUUUUGGGCCUGAGUGCUGGCUGAAGGGGUCUUGGAUCUGUUCUUAUCAGUUUAAUAUUUGAUAUGUCCUUUAUUUGAGGACUGUAUAUUAAAUUGAUUUUUGAAACAGGGGGCUGGAAUAGGAGCCUGCUCUGUCCACCCCAUGCAUUGACCUGGUAUUGCAGUGCCUCCAGGACAGAAAAAAACCC